GCAAGUCGAGGGGCAGCAUUGAGAUAGCUUGCUAUUUCAGAUGGCGACCGGCGCACGGGUGAGUAACGCGUAUCCAACCUUCCCCUUAGUAGAGAAUAGCCCGGCGAAAGUCGGAUUAAUGCUCUAUGUUGUAUUUUGAGGACAUCUGACGAAUACCAAAGGUUCACCGCUAAGGGAUGGGGAUGCGUCUGAUUAGCUUGUUGGCGGGGUAACGGCCCACCAAGGCAACGAUCAGUAGGGGUUCUGAGAGGAAGGUCCCCCACAUUGGUACUGAGACACGGUCCAAACUCCUACGGGAGGCAGCAGUGAGGAAUAUUGGUCAAUGGACGAGAGUCUGAACCAGCCAAGUAGCGUGCAGGAUGAGGGCCCUAUGGGUUGUAAACUGCUUUUAUGCGGGGAUAAAGUCACCCACGUGUGGGUGUUUGCAGGUACCGCAUGAAUAAGGACCGGCUAAUUCCGUGCCAGCAGCCGCGGUAAUACGGAAGGUUCGGGCGUUAUCCGGAUUUAUUGGGUUUAAAGGGAGCGUAGGCCGCAUGGUAAGCGUGCUGUGAAAUGUACCGGCUCAACCGGUGACGUGCAGCGCGAACUGUCGUGCUUGAGUACGCGCAACGUAGGCGGAAUUCGUGGUGUAGCGGUGAAAUGCUUAGAUAUCACGAAGAACUCCGAUUGCGAAGGCAGCUUACGGGAGCGAGACUGACGCUGAAGCUCGAAAGCGCGGGUAUCGAACAGGAUUAGAUACCCUGGUAGUCCGCGCGGUAAACGAUGGAUGCCCGCCGUACGGCCCUUAGGUCGUGUGGCCAAGCGAAAGCAUUAAGCAUCCCACCUGGGGAGUACGCCGGCAACGGUGAAACUCAAAGGAAUUGACGGGGGCCCGCACAAGCGGAGGAACAUGUGGUUUAAUUCGAUGAUACGCGAGGAACCUUACCCGGGCUUGAAUUGCAGAGGAAAGAUCCAGAGAUGGUGAUGCCCUUCGGGGUCUCUGUGAAGGUGCUGCAUGGUUGUCGUCAGCUCGUGCCGUGAGGUGUCGGCUUAAGUGCCAUAACGAGCGCAACCCCUUUCAUUAGUUGCCAUCACUUCGGGUGGGCACUCUGGUGAUACUGCCACCGUAAGGUGUGAGGAAGGUGGGGAUGACGUCAAAUCAGCACGGCCUUUACGUCCGGGGCUACACACGUGUUACAAUGGGUGAUACAGAUGGCAGGUUUACGGCAACGUGGAUCAAAUCUUGAAAGUCAUCCUCAGUUCGGAUUGGGGUCUGCAACCCGACCCCAUGAAGCUGGAUUCGCUAGUAAUCGCGCAUCAGCCAUGGCGCGGUGAAUACGUUCCCGGGCCUUGUACACACCGCCCGUCAAGCCAUGAAAGCCGGGGGC
rnacentral:rRNA from 1 species